rnacentral:piRNA from 1 species
UAGUUUGCGUACACUGGGGUCUGUC